GAGGGCUCGGGCCUUUCAGUUGUUGGGGGGUAAGGCUCACCAAGCGUCGACGGUAGCCGCCUGAAGGUGACCGCCACACUGGGAUGAGACCCGGCCCAGAUUCUACGGGAGGCAGCAGUGGGAAUUUGCACAAUGGCGCAAGCCUGAUGCAGCAACGCCGCUUGAGGGAUGACGGCCUUCGGGUUGUAAACCUCUUUUAGCAGGGAAGAAGCGAAAGUGACGGUACCUGCAGAAAAAGCGCCGGCUAACUACGUGCCAGCAGCCGCGGUAAUACGUAGGGCGCAAGCGUUAUCCGGAAUUAUUGGGCGUAAAGAGCUCGUAGGCGGUCUGUCGCGUCUGCUGUGAAAACCCGAGGCUCAACCUCGGGCCUGCAGUGGGUACGGGCAGACUAGAGUGCGGUAGGGGAGAUUGGAAUUCCUGGUGUAGCGGUGGAAUGCGCAGAUAUCAGGAGGAACACCGAUGGCGAAGGCAGAUCUCUGGGCCGUAACUGACGCUGAGGAGCGAAAGGGUGGGGAGCAAACAGGCUUAGAUACCCUGGUAGUCCACCCCGUAAACGUUGGGAACUAGUUGUGGGGGCCUUUCCACGGUCUCCGUGACGCAGCUAACGCAUUAAGUUCCCCGCCUGGGGAGUACGGCCGCAAGGCUAAAACUCAAAGGAAUUGACGGGGACCCGCACAAGCGGCGGAGCAUGCGGAUUAAUUCGAUGCAACGCGAAGAACCUUACCAAGGCUUGACAUAUAGAGGAAAGAUCUGGAAACAUUUCCCCCGCAAGGUCUCUAUACAGGUGGUGCAUGGUUGUCGUCAGCUCGUGUCGUGAGAUGUUGGGUUAAGUCCCGCAACGAGCGCAACCCUCGUUCUAUGUUGCCAGCACGUAAUGGUGGGAACUCAUGGGAUACUGCCGGGGUCAACUCGGAGGAAGGUGGGGAUGACGUCAAAUCAUCAUGCCCCUUAUGUCUUGGGCUUCACGCAUGCUACAAUGGCCGGUACAAAGGGCUGCAAUACCGUGAGGUGGAGCGAAUCCCAAAAAGCCGGUCCCAGUUCGGAUUGAGGUCUGCAACUCGACCUCAUGAAGUCGGAGUCGCUAGUAAUCGCAGAUCAGCAACGCUGCGGUGAAUACGUUCCCGGGUCUUGUACACACCGCCCGUCAAGUCAUGAAAGUCGGUAACACCUGAAGCCGGUGGCCUAACCCUUGUGGAGGGAGCCGUCGAAGC
rnacentral:rRNA from 1 species